UGCCAAUCUCCUUAAGUGUCCACC
rnacentral:piRNA from 1 species